CAGCCGCCGCGGUAAAACGUAGGGUGCAAGCGUUAAUCGGAAUUACUGGGCGUAAAGCGUGCGCAGGCGGUUUUGUAAGACAGAGGUGAAAUCCCCGGGCUCAACCUGGGAACUGCCUUUGUGACUGCAAGGCUAGAGUACGGCAGAGGGGGAUGGAAUUCCGCGUGUAGCAGUGAAAUGCGUAGAUAUGCGGAGGAACACCGAUGGCGAAGGCAAUCCCCUGGGCCUGUACUGACGCUCAUGCACGAAAGCGUGGGGAGCAAACAGGAUUAGAUACCCCAGUAGUCCCUGUCUCUUAUAC
rnacentral:rRNA from 1 species